UUGCUUCAGCAGCACAUAAACUAAAAUUGGAAUGGUACAGAGAAGAUUAGCGUGGCCCCUGCGCAUGGAUGACAUGCAAAUUCAUGAAACAACCCUGGGAGAU
rnacentral:snRNA from 1 species